rnacentral:lncRNA from 1 species
AAUUUUAAAAUUUUAAAAUAAGAAUAGGGGUGGGAACAAUUAAUAAAAAUAAUUUAUUAUAAUAAAUUUAUAAAUUUGAUAAAAAUAAUUUUUUUAUUAAAUUUAUAAUUUUUUAUUAUUAAUAAAUUUAUAAAUUUUUUAAAAAUUCUUGUUUAACUUAAAUUUAAUAAAAAUAAUUUAUUAUAAAAUUUAUUAUAAUAUUUAAAUAUAAUAAUAUGUAUUAAUAUAAUAUAAUUAAUAAUUUUAUAAUAAAAAUAAUGUAUUAUAAUAUAUAACAUAUUAUAUUUAUGUAAUUUAUUUUUACUUUAAUUUAUAAUUUUAAUUAAGUUUGAAAUUAAGUAUUAGAAUAGUACUAUUCCACCAAAACGGUGGAAUAGUAAAUCUCAAGCCAUUCCGGAAUAACCAGAAAUAACAAGGUAUGACCGGAAAAAACUAUCCCGAUAAAAAAUUAUCCCGUUUAGCAGAAUAGUGAAAAUAAUUUUUGUUAUUCCCGCUUAUCCCCCGAACCAAACGGGCCCAA